rnacentral:misc_RNA from 1 species
GCAGCAGUAAAGAAUGAAUAACCCCUCAUCUUCAUCUGCAGCUACUCUCCAAAAUCUCACUGUAACAACAACACACUAUCAUGUGCUUUUUCAGUUAAAAACAAGAAACCCCAUCACAAAUUUUUUGUUGCAUUUGCUUACAAAAAACUAAAAACAAUUAGAAUCAUGUGCUUUCAGUGAAAAACAAGAAACCCCAUAUCAAUUAUUAG